CUACUAUGGAUCCCAGAGGCCAUUUCUCUGUUGUUUGUUUGCUCUGUGAGCAGUUUGUUUCUACAUAGCUGGAGCUUAGAUUCAUCCAGAAGGCAGCCAACUCUUCAAAUACAGAGAUAUUAUAGUGUCCUGAUUACAGAAGUACUUCUGGGCUAAGCCCUCAGUACUGAGAAAAAGAGAAUGGAGCUGCUUUGACAAUCAAUACAUAAAGCAGAUUUUACAAGACUCAGGCUUUAGACUUCCUUGUUUUAAACUCUCAGGCUUGGAAAAAGCCCACACAAAGUCCUAAAAGGGACACAGUUCUUUGAAGCUCUCUUGACACUUUAGCCGAUAUAAAAUGAGGGACUGUGUCAUGGAAAGAAGCAAUUGUGAAAAUCACUAAACCUGCAUAUCCUUGACAGUGCUGUAGCAAGAGGUAAUAAAGUGGUAAUCAUUGGAUGUUAUAAAUCAGCAGAGUGAGUAGGAAAAGUAAAAUGAUUUG